UACGAAGGGGGCUAGCGUUGCUCGGAAUUACUGGGCGUAAAGGGCGCGUAGGCGGAUAUCUAAGUUGGGGGUGAAAUCCCGGGGCUCAACCUCGGAAUUGCCUUCAAAACUGGAUAUCUUGAGUUCGGGAGAGGUGAGUGGAACUCCGAGUGUAGAGGUGAAAUUCGUAGAUAUUCGGAAGAACACCAGUGGCGAAGGCGGGUCUCUGGACAGUUCCUGACGCUGAGGCACGAAGGCCAGGGGAGCAAACGGG
rnacentral:rRNA from 1 species